GGGGGUGUCUCUUACAGGAGCAGUUUUCCCGGAGGGUAUUGAACAUUCUGUCCAUAAAUUUAAAACUGGGAGGGUUCUGGGAGGCCUGUGUUUUACAGAUGGGGAAACUGAGGCUCAAAAGGAAAGACCGUUUGCCUAAGAUGAGACAGCUGGAGAGGCAGAAAAAUCUGGGUUCUGGUUGGGAUUCGGAUCCCACGGGGGAACAAUUGAGAGGACCAGAUUAACCAUCUGGAGGACAGCCCCUUUGCUGUGUUGCUCCUCAAUAUCUGGGCCAAGUCUCUUCAUCUCCUUCUGCCUCCGUUUCCUCAUCUGUAUAAUCCUAAAUUUGCACUGAAUAACAUCUAAAAUCUCUUCCAGUUUUAAGUCUGCGAAGAAUACUUUAGAAGCAGAUUCCCAGAGCUCUUGGUCUAAGACUGGAAAUAAGCAAUUACCUAAAUAACUAAAGGAAGUUGAGUAUGAUAAGUUCCACAUCCAGCUGUUGAGAAACAUGACCAGAUGUUUAGAGGCAAAAGAAAGAAGAGCAGUGGGCAGCCCAUGGGCAAAUUCGUGCUGAUCCCAGAUAGAAUAAAAGAUCUCUGAGAAGA